UUUUAAUUAUAAUUAAUUGUUCAUAUUUCUUUAGGCGUAUCACUACUCUAGUAAAAACGAUUACAUAAAAAUAUGAAAGAUUCGCCGUUAUAUUUGAUUCCCCAUUACUUUUGAGUAUUUAAAAAAAAAAAAAAAAGUGAGGGAUAGGUUUAUGGGAAAUAGGGAGUGAAUAUUGAAUAGUGUUAAUUAAAAAAAAAGGGAGGAUAUGACUAAAAUUCAAUUUGAGGUCCCCACUUAUCAUAAAGUUUUGUAGGAAAAAGGAAAUUAUAGGAAGUGUUUUAAUGAUUUACGAGUUUUUCAAAUGCUGGUACAUUAACACAUGUAACAGUUAAUGAAGGAAACCAAUUUAAACUCUUUUUGAAU